rnacentral:tRNA from 1 species
GCGCCCGUAGCUCAAUUGGAUAGAGCAUCCGUCUUCGGAACGGAGGGUUGGGGGUUCGAGUCCCUUCGGGCGCA